GCCCAAUGAUGAGACCAAGGCGAAUACGAGCUCACUGAAUGAGAGCUGGGUUCUUCUUUGCCUUAACUGGCAGGUAAUCUUGGCAGUGCAGGGGAGGUUUCCUGCUCUGCUGUAAGGGUCUGCCUACAGUGUUCUGGCUCAUCCCAGAGUAUUCCUCAACAGUCACAGUGGAGUAAUAACUGGGAUGAUGCCGACAGUGCGUGUGUUGUGUUGUGUGUGUGUGCAUGUGUGAAAAGGUGAGAAGUUCACCCAGCUCUCUUUGCUCUUCAGUCUGCUAUGAGUAGCUUCUUUGGUAAUCUGAGGGAU